UACGUAGGUGACAAGCGUUGUCCGGAUUUACUGGGCGUAAAGAGCGCGCAGGCGGUCGAUCAAGUCGAGUGUGAAAGCCCCCGGCUCAACUGGAGAGGGUCAUUCGAUACUGAUCGACUCGAAGGCAGGAGAGGUAGUGGAAUUCCCGGUGUAGUGGUGAAAUGCGUAGAUAUCGGGAAGGAACACCAGUGGCGAAGGCGACU
rnacentral:rRNA from 1 species